AGGCGAUGAUUAAAGAGAAUAUUUGCUAUCUGAGAUAGCCAUGCUGCAGGAAAAUUCUACCACCAAAAUCUCUGAGCCU